UACGUAGGGUGCGAGCGUGAAUCGGAAUUACUGGGCGUAAAGCGUGCGCAGGCGGUUUUGUAAGCCAGAUGUGAAAUCCCCGGGCUUAACCUGGGAAUGGCAUUUGGGACUGCAAGGCUUGAGUGCGGCAGAGGAGACUGGAAUUCCUGGUGUAGCAGUGAAAUGCGUAGAUAUCAGGAGGAACACCGAUGGCGAAGGCAGGUCUCUGGGCUGACACUGACGCUCAUGCACGAAAGCGUGGGGAGCAAACAGG
rnacentral:rRNA from 1 species